rnacentral:lncRNA from 1 species
CAAAACACUUUUCAACAGUAAUAUGCCCAAGCUUUAUGAAAUAUCCAAGGUACGACUGCGAAGAAUAUCAUGUAGACGUCUGCCCAUAUAUGUAUGUAAUGGAAGUUAUGCCUUUUGCCAUGCAUGGAAAACAGUGAAAAACAAGAGUAAAAAUGUGUGACAUGCAUGUGAUAUUAACUGGAAAAUUGCCUCUACUGCACUUUACAAGUGAGACUUAGAAAUUUUUUUUUAAAUAUAGGAGCUAGAGAGAUGGCUCAGUAGUUAAAAGCAGAUACCUCUUGCACAGAACCCACUGUACAUUGCUAGCACCCAUGUCAGAUGGUUUUCAACCUCCUUUGGCUUCAGUUCUCAGCAGUCAGAUGUUAUCUUCUGGCCAACAAAGUAUCCUGCACUCCUGUGCUCAUACCCAUACUCAAAUAAACACACACCCAACAAAAGAAAAUAUUGAGCAAAGUAACUAAGAUGCUAAAAGAUACAUUUCAUAUAUUUUAUUUUCUUGGAGGCUCCUACAUCCAUGUCUUUAUAUGUGAGUAUAUAUCCUGAACUAACUCCAGAAGUGAAGAAAGUAAUAGGGGGAAUUUGCAGAUUGGGAGAACAAGAGAUCUGAACAGGGAAAUGAAAAGAAGUGUAAAGCCCUGUUAAAAAUUGAAAGGGAGAUAAACAUCUUAAUAAGAGGAGGGUAAGGUAAACUAUAAGGGUGGCUGGAACACUCAUAGGAAAUCUCACUAGUAAAUCUCUAACUGAAAGAAAAGAACUACAAUACAUGGAAUCCCAUGUAUAAAUAUACGUAUAUAUUUUAAAUGAAGAUUUUUCUUUCAGAGUGAUCCUCUCCCUGAAAGCCAAAGACCAUCUAAGAAAAAGAAAAAAGAAAAAAAAAAAGAACAAAAUGACCACACUAGGCAAGUAAAUCUCUCCUCUCAGAUGUUGGUCAAGUCUGUCUAAGGCUCCCAAAACUUAAAGUCUACUGUUAUUGUACUUCGUUACCUCCAUGAGAUGGAGGGUAAACCCUAUUACUGAAAACACCAUAGACUUAGGAUGCAGGGUCCAGAGUCUCCUGACAUGAACAUGAACUGAAUGCGUCUUCCCUAAGGGUUAGCUUUCAUGGUACCAAAAUGUGUCAAGCAAGCUUUCAAAGAAGGUAGAGCAAAGCCCUACACAGUAAUGACAGCUAUGAAACAGAAAAACGCCAACAUGGCACAAUAACCCUAAGAGCUCAGCAGUGACUCUCAUACUUCGGUGCGAACCUUUAAAACUAAUGGCUCCUUAGUGGCACUCAUACAAAGUGAUAACCAACAGCUAUCUAACUGGACUCAAGAUCUACUCUUAAGAGAACUCAUAACUGGAAUUAGAUGCAACUACUCAGGGCUAGUGAGUCAUGGAUCUUGAAGAAUUUACAAACUUCAUGUUACUAAACCAGCAUAAUUCCUAAUUGCAUUUGAAAUAUUUUGCCUUGGAUAUCUAGGCCAGUAUAGUUCUUGCUUCCCAUUAAGGAACUGUCUUUUUGGAACAGACAGAGACCAUUAGAGAAAAACAGUCAUUGAAAAAAUGUAGAGUUGUGAAUUCCAGGCUCAAUGCAUACAUCUACAAACCACUAUUGUGCCUAAGGUUCAGGUAUCACCAUGGAAGAGAAGGUGAGAUGGGCUAAGGUGGAACUGAAAAAGACAAAGAAGCUCCAAUCCUUCCCAAAAAAAUACAGACGCGACUAAGGAAUACCGAGAGAGGAAAAAAAUGAUGGCAAGCCUUGGUUAUAUUUCUGACAAAUUAGUUUAUUUGAUAUUGAAAGAAGGGCUCUAUGGCUUGUGGACUUGAGGCAAUAUCAACAGCUCUUAUUUUGAAUUCUGGUCACCUUUCAUUACUAGCACCUGUCCAAGGUUUUGAUUCUAAGGAAGACAUUCUGUUAUGUGUAAUUCCUGUCUUAGGCAGGAAGAUGUUUUAAGUCAGUGUGUGAUCAACACGUAAAUCUGAAAAGAGAAAGGACUACAUUGCUGGAAAUUCCCUUCUAUCGCUUGUCCUAAGACAUGAAGGGGGAGCGUAUUUACAGCAGCAUCUCCUGGGUGAGGAGCAGCUUUUGUCAACUACAUCCACAGUUUUGCCUUUCUGUUCUUCAUUUUAUAACUACAGAGGAAACCCCCCCAAAACUACAAGUUUAUCUUCGCAGACUUUAGUUUUAUGUCUGAAACUGCUCCAUGCUUUCUGGAGAUCAGGUAAUAAUAUUUGGCUUUACAGUAUACCAUCAUCUUUCUUAAGCUAUACCUUAGUUAGCCUAAUUUCUUUCUACCACAUGUUUAUCUGAGCAUUUUUCAUUUUAAAUUUGUUAUUGCUACAUUUUUAUAAAGCUUAUAUUUAUUUUAUUUUAUGUUUUGCCUGCAUACAUGUAUGAUUUUUUUUUUUGCAUCUUGGGUUUGGUGCUUCAGUGUGUAAAAAGAAAGCAUUGAGCACCCUGAAACUGGGGUUGCAAAUGGUUAUCAGCCAUCACUUAGGUCCUGGGAAGCAAAACAUGUCCGCUAAAAGAACAAGUGCUACUAACAGUUGAGCCAUAUCUCCACCCCACCCCUCUUGUGUCUUUUUCUUCUUCUCACUGUAAGAACAACAUAUCUCCAACUUUGCUUCUGAACUGUGAAUGAACUUCAGGUGAGAACUAAGACUACCUGGCUUUAAAAUUUUAGACAGGAUUAUCUGAUUUUGUGAUGCUAUGUAAAUAAUAUGCAUGCAUUGGAAGUUAUACUUCAUCACUUCUUGGCCUUUUGGCUAAGAUCAAGUGUAGAAGUUAUUCUUUAUAUUAUAUUAUAGUUAUUAUUUAUAUUAUUCUUUAUAUUAUUCUUUAUAUUAUAUUAUAUUCUUCUGCAAAAAUUAUGAUCGGUACACUGUAUAGACGGAGUGGAAGCAAGCCACAGAUAUCAGACACAGAGUCAUAAGAAUAGAGUAUAAACAGGUACCCUAAAACCAUUGUGUGGCUUUGCUAUUCUGUUCUGCAAGGUAAAUGUUUCAAAUGCUUCUUUGAGUUACAAUAUUCCCAUGGUGCAAUGUUUCUUGAGAGCACAACCCCAUGGUCAACUGAAAACUGUGCACAGACUUGCUCCUACUCCUUCUUGGUAUUCUCUAACUUGCUAUUUUGAUGAGAUCAGUUGUUACUCCUACGUGAGAUUUAUUUUUAAAGAUUUUUCUGGCUUAGCUCUACCUUUUAUCCCUAUUCUUGGUUUUCAGCCAUAAUCUUUGCUGGAGUCUCUUUUAAUUUAUCUACUAGCUUGCUAUGAAAGGGAUCAAUAAGCCACUAACCUUACAAAUACUUGUUAUGUUACUGAUUGAGGAGUAAAUGACUAUUUUUUACUAGGUUCUGCUGAAGGUGAUAAAAGUUCCUAUUAAGAUGCCAGGAACUGAAGGAUUAUUUCCUUCUCUGAAAUUUAAGAUCGGUAUAGAAUAUAAACCCAAGUGAGACUUGAUGUGCCAAGGCAAGUUGUUACUGAGGGGGUAGGUGGUUGGGGGAAUGGGAACAGAAUAUGGAGACCGCCCUUUGCAAAAGAAAAGGGGGUGGGGGAAGGUGGUGGGAGAGUGGGACUGGGAAGUGAUUGAGGUAUAACAGGAAUAAAUAAAUAAAUAAAUGAAAACAUCAACCAAACAAAGACAGCAUUUCAUCUCUUUGUUCUUUGUUAUGAUAGUUUGCA